rnacentral:misc_RNA from 1 species
UUUUCUUUGCCUUUUCUGCAUCAGAAAUCUUCAUCUGAAUCAAGCUCGCUCUCAAAUCCUGGAAUGAAAUCCCUCCAAUUCUCGACUCAGUCUCCUUCUCCUCCAUUUUCCUAAGCUUCAUCAACCUGUCAUUCAACUCCGUCAAUGAAAACCAAUUCUUCCCUUUUGCUUUAUCUGACCUCAGAGCUCUCAACUUGGUUCCCAAUUCUCCAUAGCUAUACAUCUUCACAAACUCCGUCUUCAUUCCCUCGUUCUCCCCAUGUUUUCUGUCCCUCGUCUCCUUUCCAAAAACCGACGCUAGCAACCCCUCUGUUCCACCCAUCACCGGCGUGGACGACGGUUCCGACGGUUUCAAUUUCAAGCUGUUUUUAAACGCCGAUAAGGAAAUUGAAUCCCCACUCUUUCGUUCAUUUUGCAUCGCUCUCGCUGAACUCGCUUGCCG